CUGCAGAAAACCACCGGUUUGUGAAUUUUCAUACAUGUUUUUAUAGCAGCGUUUUUGCAAAUAUAACAGAGACCACCUUACAUACAAUACAUAAACUACAGUUAGACUUCACAGACGAGCAAUUGCUGCGGAAGGUG